GGAAAAUUAUUGUCUACCACUGAUUUUUAUAUAACUAUUAACUUGUAGGCAGUUAUCUGUUUGGAUGGUGAUGGUUGCAAGUUAAGAAGUGGACUGGUGAAAAUCAAGGAAGGUUUAACUCUUGACACGUUAAUUGCUUGUGAUUCAUGUGAUCUUUGCAAGAUGACUCUCAUGCACCAUCUCUGCAAGAAAUUUCAGCCACUUGAAGGUCAAAUCCAUAAAAAAUGCUUCGAACAUAGUCGAAUGUGAAAGGUUCAGUGACCCCAUCAGGGACCGACACUAGAAUCGAGCCGAAGAUCCCGGCUUCUUUUUGCAUUCCAUAGUGUGCAUGGUAAAGAUAACAAGCUGUAUGAUAGCCAUGGCAUAUAUUGUUGUAUGCAAUGGAGAGCGUUCAAAUCACUGACCUGAUUCUGGAUGGAGCAGAAC